UACGUAGGGUGCGAGCGUUAAUCGGAAUUACUGGGCGUAAAGCGUGCGCAGGCGGUUUUGUAAGCCGGAUGUGAAAUCCCCGGGCUUAACCUGGGAAUGGCAUUCGGGACUGCAAGGCUGGAGUGCGGCAGAGGAGACUGGAAUUCCUGGUGUAGCAGUGAAAUGCGUAGAUAUCAGGGGGAACACCGAUGGCGAAGGCAGGUCUCUGGGCUGACACUGACGCUCAUGCACGAAAGCCAGGGGAGCGAACGGG
rnacentral:rRNA from 1 species